rnacentral:lncRNA from 1 species
AUUUUUAAAAAUCUAUGUCCAUAUUUUCUUGAACAAUCCAAAAAAUCACUUGAAAGCUUAUUUUUUUUAAAUCUUUGUCUAAAGAUGUCUUCUGCACUGGGGUCUUCAUUCUCCAUUCAACAGGGAAGUUAACACCCAAGGAACAACUCUGAACCUAUACUUCUCCCUUCCUAUGGAGUGCCUUCAGCUCACCUCCUCAAUGAACCACUUUCAACGAAAUCCUUUUCUCACCAUCUGCUUUGUGGGAACAUAAAACUAAGAGCUAAAAAAGAUUCUUCCCAUGAAAGAGACAAAAUACUAAAUGUGACAAGAUCAACAUUAAUUCAAUAAUUCAACAAAAAUUUACUGAAUAUCCACUAUGUACCAGUUCUUG